CUACUGCUUCCGUUUGUAAUGCAUGUUCUUCCCUGCCCCUAACCCUAGUAUAUUAUAAACAUGUAAUCUUGAACUUUUUGGGAUGAAGUAUGUUGUGACUGUUUAAGUACUGAAAUGCUUUUCUCUGAUGUCUAUUUAUGUGCAAUUGUGCUCUUACAUGUGAAUUACUUGUUCCCUUUGUCCCCCAUCCCCUGUUUGUGUUUACUUUCCUGAACUAUGUGUGAUACUCUAGUCUGAGAUAGUCUUACUCACCUUCUUAUAAGAGUUAUCACACUCUUAUGUUGUUUUCUUUCAAGAACUGAUUCUAUAUGGAUCAUAUUUUUUUAACUAUUUUUAUUAGCUAUUUUUUUUCUCAACCCAAUUUCUUUAUAACUCUAUCACACUCUCACUACUCCUAGAAAAUAGGGUCUCCUCCUUUCGUGUAAGCAUUGGUUUGGGUAUCUCUGAAUACCUACUGAACUUUGAUGCACAAGGCUGGUAAUUUCAC
rnacentral:lncRNA from 1 species